CCCUCGAUAGCUCAGAGCGGAGGACUGUAGAUGCUACAAAGGUGAUCCUUAGGUCGCUGGUUCAAAUCUGGCUCGAGGGA